CCGUCCGCCGCACUGGCAGCACUGCGGCACUGCCAUUUGCCGACUACCGGUGCUGCACGCCGGCAUCAACAACAUCAACACCGACAACAUGGCUGCCUCCUCUCAUGUUCCUGUUCCUCCUCCAAAUCAAACCAAUGAAACCAAGGCAAAACCUAAAAGAAAGACGUUGCAUUCUUUCUAUAAUAAUGACGGCAGAUUUGAUUAUGGACGAUUUCAAUACAGUGAAAACUCGUGCCGUGAAGUUUAAAUAAACAUCCGGCUGCCCCCCUUUGAUUUUCUGUCAAGCUCCGCAACUGGCAUCGGCGAUCACCUAUUGCGACCCAAUGGAACGGUGGCUAACACAUUCCUCUCGUGUCACUCCUCCGUGAGCACGUACGACGCCCUGCACUGGUUGAUCAGGAUAGUUGGCCGUUGCCUUCACUGUGAGGUGCGAUCGAGAUUCUACAAGAGCUAGUUGUCGUCUUUUCCAGAGGCCACGUACUUCAAAGCAAGGGUUUGCACUUUUGAUUUUGGUAGGACCCAAAUUUACGAGAUUUCAUGAUUCUCGGUACUU